UACAGAGGUCCCAAGCGUUGUUCGGAUUCACUGGGCGUAAAGGGUGCGUAGGUGGUGAGGUAAGUCCGAUGUGAAAGCUCCGAGCUCAACUCGGAAAUUGCAUUAGAAACUACCUUGCUCGAGGGUUGGAGGGGGGGACUGGAAUUCUCGGUGUAGCAGUGAAAAUGCGUAGAUAUCGAGAGGAACACCAGUGGCGAAGGCGAGUCCCUGGACAACUCCUGACACUGAGGCACGAAAAGCUAGGGGGAGCAAACAGG
rnacentral:rRNA from 1 species